CAGAACACUCUGACAUUUUAGUUGGUCUCAGCUGUGGCAAGAAGCAGCUGGACCCCAGUGAGAAGAGGAAACCAGAGGCUGCCUUCUGACAGCUGGGGUCAGGGUCCCUGGCUCAGUGGGCCUGAGUUCAGGUGCACCUACUUCCUCAUUCCCAUUCUGUCAAAUGGCACAUUAAUAAGCAAGAAGGAGAUUCGGGGAAGAAUUUCCAGAAGGACAAAAACUCAUCAGAUCUGACAACCGACUGGUCCUUUCUCUGUGCUGUGCGGUAGAGGAGAGGAUGGGGCUUUCGGCCUCCCGGCUGCGCUUGAUGGAGAACGUCCUGAUGAUAGCAACCUCGUGAAUGUCCGACUGCAAAGACCCACGUCUACAAAUUGCUGUCAGCCAGAGGAAUGACUGUAACUUCCUCGGUGCCGAGUGAACAGCUUUGCUCUGCUCUGAGCUCCUACCAUGGCAUGUCAUCCACCGCAGGCCCAAGGCAAGGGAACUGAUCUGAAACUGGGGCUGAAACUGCUGAAACUGGAGCCAAAAGAAACCUUUUUCUCCAUAAAUUGAUUUAUCUCAAUUCUGCUGAUUAUUGGAUAUUGAUUUACCAGGCAGAGCCAAUGCCUUCUCUGUGUGUGUCUACAGGACAGACUUCAGUCAGUAUCUGCUGAGCACAUGCAUGGAUUGAUUUUAUACUCCUUCGUCCCACAAGGUCACGCCUUCCUCAUGCUUCCUUUUGAUCCAACGCAGGAGCAGGGUCGAUGUUAUUACUCCAAAGACCAAAUCGGCAAUGGUGUGGACUCUAGAGAUCUUGGGCUCAAGGUCACUGAAACUGAUGAACAUCUCAAGGUUAUUGCACGAUGGGCAAAGACUGCACCACAAAGCCAAAAGAAUGGAAA